UGCAGUCUGCAACUCGACUGCAUGAAGCUGGAAUCGCUAGUAAUCGCGAAUCAGAAUGUCGCGGUGAAUACGUUCCCGGGCCUUGUACACACCGCCCGUCACACCAUGGGAGUUGGAAGCACCCGAAGUCGGUGACCUGACUGAAAGGGAGGAGCCGCCGAAGGUGAAGCCAGCGACUGGGGUGAAGUCGUAACAAGGUAGC
rnacentral:rRNA from 1 species